AUUUACUGGAUUAAUACGUACAUCGGGGAUUAUGAUGUCAUUGGGGAAGUGUUUGCCACGCGGAAUAUGCGGAUCGGUGAUGGAUUUGUUUAUUAUUUAUUGGUUUACCCGUUAAAAGAAAUUUACUUUUGUGUUUCGUCACUUGACACGUUCUUUGUGUCAAGGUCUUAUUAUUUAUCACCGGAUUCAGCUCUGCAAUUAAAAUGUCGAACGGUCACGCUGACAUCUGAGAUUAUUGCGAUCUAUUAUUUCCGCGAUCUGUCGGAUUACGUGCAAUCGAUUUUUUUCAACCGAUUUUUACUGCGGAUUUAUGGGAAUAUCUCAGUUGUAAAACUCGGGUAUCACCUGGUCAGGAAGUAUUUUUUAUUUCUCGGAAAGAAUUCUUCACCAUUUUUUAAAAAGACACAGUGAAAAAUGAAGAAAUAAAUAUGAACUAACGUUUUCGGUUGUUUUAGGUAUCUCUGUGGAAAUAUUUUGGAUAGCUCUCUUCUCUUUCUUCUAGACUAGACAUUGGCCUCUGACAACUGAUAGAGAAUUCACAUAAACUCACUGAUAACGAUGGAGAAACGACAGUACGAUAAUUAUAUAUUUUUAGAUGACAGUUGUUCUAGGGGCUCUGCAGCUUGGGAUAUUUUUAUCUCUACUUGAGCCACGAAUUAUACCCUGGACACUUGACGUUCAUUGAAAUGACUGGACUUUCAUUUUUCUAUUGUGACUGAAUAUAUAAAAAAUAGAUUACGAGAUCCACUUGGCUGUGAAUUCAGUCCUAUUUUUAUGAUAGAUUAUGGUGUUUUUCCUCUGGAGAAAUAUUUUUUCCUCAAUUAUUCUACGUCUCCUUUCUUUUUCCUUCAGGGAAAAAACUUUCAGAAUAAACCCACGAAUACCAUUAAAAAAUAAUAAUUCUCCAGAGGAUGUACUGAGAUAAGGAGAAAUUCUGAUAAUUUUUUAAAUUUUAUCUACUCGAGGAAAGUGAUAACGUCCUCCCUCAAGUCGAGAUUGAUUUUCUUAACGAUCGACUAAUCUAGUAAACUAUUGAUUUUGAGAAGAAAUGGAACAUGACUUUUUUCCUCGGGAAUUUAAUUUCCUACAAAAAAUUCUUAUGAGUUUUUCCUCGUUAGUCGACAGUUUUCGAAAUAAACCGUAAUUAGAGAGUCUUGAAAUUCUUGUCUCGAUGGGAUUACAUUUAUCAAUUGACCUUCUGAUCCCCUAGAGCCCAGAGAAAUAGACUUCGGAGUUGGAAUUGAUGUAAUGAACGCUCUCGUCAUUUUCUCGAGCAAGUGAAAACAUGUUGACUCCAGAGGAAUAAUUACUCGAGAAGUAGUCAAUAAA